rnacentral:lncRNA from 1 species
AGACAAGGGUCUCCAGCAAGAGACAUCCUCAACUCCACUGCCAACCCUUAAAUGAGGUCUGGGAAGGGGGGCAUCCUGGCUCCACUCCUUCUGUCACUCAGAAGCAGCUGGGGUUCACUUUUCCAAGAAGAUCCUGCUGGAAGACUGUAGUCCAACACUAACUGUAACCAGUGGGAAGGACCAUAGGAGCUCAGAUAAAGCAGGAGAUAAUGAGACUCAAGACUGAACAAGGAUGACUCAAAUUCUGAGGUAUAAUGGACUAUGAAAACUGAGGACAAUCCAGAGUGGCUGAUGAAACAAAGGGAGGUGUUUUGAGAAAAAAAAUAGAAAAAAUAAGAGACAAAGGCACUUCUUCAGCAUUCCUCAACUCAAACCAUGAACCUUAUACAAAUGUCUACUGUUGGAAUUCUGCCUCCCAAUUACUCCAGACACAGCUCUGUACAAUGUACAGUCCCCACAAUGACUGCCAAAGGUCUUUAUUACUCCCAUAGUCCUAUCUGAGAGCUGGUCUUCUUCACCCCUAAGUUUGCCAAGGAAGGUGUCUGAAAGCAGAGGGCUGGGGAAUGGCAGAACUGGAAGAAGCGAGGAAUGACUGUACAUAGCAGUACUACUUUUGGUUUGGUUUCUUAUGUUUUUUGUUGUUGUAGUUUGCUUUUUUUUUUUUUAAAGUCUUAAGGAGUAUUACUACACUGUACAUCUUUGUUUCACAGUUUCCAAUUUCUACAUUUCUAUAGGUGCAAAAGUUUUAAAUGAAAAUUGAAAUCAUAGUCCCAUAUUCAGUCAAAAAUCAGAACAGG